GCGGGGCUUUCCCGAGCGCGGGAAGAGAGCGCGGUGCAGGGAUAUGAGUGCAUGCGUGGUGUGGUGCGAGGAGUGCUCGUUUUGUCGCCAUCAUGUUGCGGAACCUUACCGUCGAGCAGGUCAACGAGUGGUUCACUGUUGACAAAGCCGUGACCGCCGUUGAGUUUUUAGAUGGUGGUGUGCAGGCUGUAGCCUCAUGGGGUUCUUCUUGCUGUUUCCCCAGCCCCUCUGCUGCUCGGGAGUCAUCGGUGGCAGCAUGGCUGCCUACCGCCAAGAGAAGUGAAACUGAAUUUGCUGAAAAAUACAGACAAGUGGAGGCCCAAAAGCGAGAUGCAUCUGGGAACUAUCGGUUUGUCUGUGAACAAGAUACUUCAGUGCCGAAUUGUGAGCCAGGUGUUCGGAAUUCUAUACCAAUCACAACUAAGCAUAAAUGUGCUUAUAUGCCUAUAGCCAGAUACAGGGAAGAGAUCUUGUCUCUGAUAGAAAGCAAUUCAGUUGUGAUUAUACAAGGAGCAACGGGAAGUGGUAAGAGCACGCAGCUUCCACAGUAUGUUCUGGAUUAUUGCACUGAGCAAUCUGUCUACUGCAACAUUGCUGUUACCCAGCCUCGGAAAAUUGGUGCCAGCAGCAUUGCCAGGUGGAUUAGCAAGGAGCGAUCAUGGACACUAGGUGGAUUAGUAGGCUACCAGGUAGGUUUAGAGAACAUGUCCACAAUGGAGACAAGGUUGCUGUACAUGACAACUGGAGUCCUUCUUCAGAAAGUAGUUAAUGCCAAAAGCCUAACUGAAUUCACACACAUCUUCAUUGAUGAAGUGCAUGAGCGUACUGAAGAAAUGGAUUUUUUGCUCUUGGUAAUUCGUAAACUGUUGCGUACAAAUUCACAAUCGGUGAAGAUCAUAUUGAUGUCUGCUACCAUCAACUGUGAAGAAAUUGCUGAUUACUUUGCAAUUCCAGUUGAAAACCAUCUGAAUCCAGCCUGUAUUUUUAAGGUGGAAUGCAAACCUUACGCUGUUGAAGAAUAUUAUCUUGAUGAUUUGAAGCACAUUGCUCAUUUCCAGCUUCCUUAUCAAAGAAUUGAUAAGCCAGUGAUUGCAAAGGAAAUAUACGAGGUAGCAGUGUCUUUGAUUCAGUCAUUUGAUGAGUUGGAGAUGCAAUGCAAUGGGGACAGUUUUACACCAGAGCGUGGAAGUGUACUGGUGUUUUUACCGGGUUUGAGUGAAAUAAGCUACAUGCACUCACGCCUCACACGUAUGUUUAACAAAAGGUGGCAAGUGUACCCUCUCCACUCACGCGUCUCAUUAGAAGAACAAAAUAAUGUAUUUUUGAAUCCAGUUCCUGGCUACAGAAAAGUUAUUCUGUCUACAAACGUAGCUGAGAGCUCUGUAACAGUUCCUGACGUUAAGUAUGUGAUAGAUUUCUGCUUAACUAGAACUUUGGUUUGUGAUGAGGAGACUAAUUAUCAAAGUUUGAGACUUUGCUGGGCAUCUAAAACAAACUGUUACCAAAGAAGAGGUCGUGCUGGACGUGUUUCCAAUGGAUAUUGUUACAGGCUUGUACACAAGGGCUUCUGGACAGACUGUAUCCCAGAGAAAUCACUACCCGAGAUGCUGUCUUGUCCAUUGGGAGCUACAGUAUUAAAAAUAAAGAAGCUUGAUAUGGGAGAACCAAAAGCCUUGUUGGCAACAGCUCUUUCUCCUCCCAACAUAAGUGACAUUGAACGUACCAUACUUCAUCUGAAAGAGCUAGGAGCACUUACAGCUUGUGCGCAAGCAGAAGAAAAUAUGCAUGAUGGUGAGCUGACUUUCUUAGGAAGGGUAUUGGUACAUUUGCCAGUGGAUCUGCAUCUUGGAAAAUUGAUCGUCCUUGGGCAUGUCUUUGGAUGUUUAGAAGAAUGCCUUAUUAUAGCUGCAGCACUCUCUUUGCGGAACUUUUUUGUUGAGCCUUUCAAGCAGCCUAUUGAUGGGUACAGGAGCAAACUUCUUUUUUCUGGGAAUAGUAAGAGUGACUGUAUUGCAAUUGUGAAUGCAUUUAAGGCAUGGCAGAUCUGCAGACAGAAUGGGGACCUGAGACAUCCCAAGGAUGAGCUUGAGUGGGGUCGAUUAAAUUUUAUUCAUAUCAAGAAAGUAAGAGAGGUGGCGCAGUUAGUUCAGCUUCUGGAAGACAGAGUCAAACCGUUUAACAUGCACGUUAAUGCUCAGCCGUCUGUGGUGGAUCAGGAGUAUGUAUAUAAACAGCGUUCCAUUUUGCAGGUUGUAAUGGCUGGUGCUUUCUAUCCAAACUACUUCACUUUUCAAAAAUGUGAUGAGCUAGGUGCAGUGAGAGAGCUUGGUGGCAAAGAUCCAAAAACCACGGUGUUGCUGAAGAGUAUUCCUCCCUAUGGUUAUCUAUACCAUAAUCAGUUGCAGUCACAGUUUAGACGGUGUGGACAGGUAAAAUCUGUUAUGUAUGAUGGAUCAAGGGCUUUUGUGGAGUUUUCCCAUAACCCAGUGGAGGGUUUAAAGGUUCUUCCUGCAGUGUACAUGUCAAUCAAGAUGUCACAGCUGAAAAUUCCACUUGAACUGGAUGUUCAUUAUCCUGAUGAUAUCAGAAAGGACUUGCAACAUGUGACGCAUGCAGGCAUGGACUCCUUAAGAGUGAGUGUGGACUAUCAGAAACAGACAGUGGAGCCUGUGGAAAUAUCAUUUGGUACUUCACAGCUGUUAAAGAUGAUUCCAAAUCGUCUCCUGUCCAUCAAUGUAACAGAGAUAGUAGAAGUUGGACACUUCUGGGGGUACAGGAUAGAUGAAAAAAAUAGGUCUGUACUCCAGACUCUGAUUGCUGAAUUAAACUACCAGAACAUGACAGAUCUGUCAGUGUCUCCACAUCCAGAGAUGGUUUGUCUAGCACCAUUCACUCGUCUGGAAAACACAGGAUACUAUAGAGCUCGUAUUCUUUAUGUUUCUGGAGAUUUUGCAGAGGUUUUUUUUGUAGAUUAUGGUGAUAGAUCAAAAGUGCCUUUAAAAAAACUGAAAGAGAUUCCAAGCCAUCUUCAAGAGCUUCCUUUCCAGGCUUUGGAAUUCAAGAUAUGCAAGAUGCGACCAUCUGCAAAAUCUCUUGUAUGUGGGGAACAGUGGAGUUACAGUGCUAGCCAGAGAUUUGCCUCGCUAGUGAAUGGUUAUACUCUUCUAGUGGAGGUGUAUUCACUUGUGCAUAAUGUUCUGCAUGUAGAUGCUUUCCACUACACAAGGCACAGGGACCUUGUGAAUAUUCGAGAUGUGCUUAUUGAAGAGCAUUAUGCUGAACUAGCAGAAGAGUCAUAUGAAUCACAACAAAGCCACGAUUUGCUGAAGGGAUUUUUUUUUAGCGGAAUAGUGGAAAAAGAGAAAACACCUGUAUCUUCAAGAGAGGAGGAAAAGGAUCUAAUUGAAAGGUUCUUCAAGUGGUUUGCUGACAACAAAUCUGAGGCACCAUCCCAUAAGGUGACAAUCAGUGGCCCAUUCAGUCCUUAUGAGGUGAAAUGCCACAGUAUGACUCAGGUAUCCCAGUUCAGAAAUGCUGUCAUACAAAAGGGAAGCAUAAACUCCGUUGUUGUCCAAGAUGCUCCAGAGCACUCCUUUGAGCAAUUUCUGGUUGCUGCGUUUUUAUCAUUAAAUGCAAAUGGAUCUACUGUGUUUUUAGAGGAAACAUCUUUGAUGCCUCCAAUUCCUGGCCUACUUGCUCUCCUUAGUAUGCUGUUUGCUCCUGCCAUAGAACUUAGGGUUGAUAAAGCUUGCAAGUAUUUUACUGGUGCUCUGUGCGGUUUGGGUUGGAGUCAGACUCGUAGGGCUCCACUGCUUCCAGAAGAUGACAUGGAGCUGACAUUUGAUGUGAAUUUUGACGUAGAUGACAUAUUGGAGAUCAACAUCCUAAGAGCAGCCAUUAAUAACCUGCUGUGUGAAUGUUCAGUGUGCUCUGAAGAAGAGAAGAUGCCACAGCUGCAGGAAAAUAUUCGUCAGUUACUUCUACGUUUGAUCUGCAAACCAAGACGUAGAGUUGUUCCUAUGUGGUAUGAGACACCGUAUGCGUGGAAUCAAGUGGAUUCACAGCAUAUCAUUGACCAAUCUGAAAAGCAGCAUAAAAGAGAAGACGGUCUUUAUCAGCUGCAUAAGCUUGUUAAGUUGAAUGUUUAAGUAUUGCUAGAAGUCUUUCAGAGGAGGAAGUAUUACAGCCAGUUUAAAAAUGUUCUGUCUUCUGUGUAUAACUGUUAGACAUUUGUUUCACGAGAUUCUUCUUUAAGAUUAGUGUAUUCAAACAUAGGUUGGUUUAUUUUUAUAUUUUAAAAACAGAGGUAUACUGACCUUGAGGAGAUAUAGUUAUUUAUAGAGCAGGAUGCAGUUUUCUGUUUAAUAAUAAUACUGAGCAGGUUUAUCACAAUGGAUGUGAAAGAUAAAGUAAAUUAGCUUUAAUUGUUCAUUUUCUGGCUGAAAGCUCAUGAGCCAUGGGAUAUGAUUCAGUCUUGCAAUUGAAAGCUGUGUUUUCUUAUUUUUUUGUGAAUAGUUUUUGAAUUCUCUUUAAACCUAAAAGCUAGAGGUCAAUGGAAACUGAAGAUUAAGACUGUGUUCUGAUCAAAAGUAUAACUUUAUAUGUCAGGUGCAAUUUUUCAUUAAUUUUUCUUACAACAAAAUGUAAUACAUGAUUCCUUCUCCUUUGUGGCAGAAGAAUACUUUUGAGUUACUGAUUCAUUGCACCUUUGUUUCAUCCUGUCUGCUUAUUUUUCUGAUCGAUCAGACCUUCAGCUCUAAAAAUGAGUGUGUUACAGCUAAGCACCCCUAGGGGCAAAUGGAAUGAGCAGUGUCCAAUCUUUGCUCUGCCUGGUAAUGGUGGGAAUCUCUGUAGGAAAAGGAAACGCAGCAAUACCACAAUGGGUGGUAGCUAAAGGUCGUGUUGACAGAUUGCAGGGCUGGUACCUGGCUGCUGGAGCAAACCGGCUGGGAUGGCAGGAACUCCUUCCAACUAG